rnacentral:lncRNA from 1 species
UAGGAUCACUGCAGUUUAACACACUGUUUCUUUUCUAGAAUUUGAAAAGCAUCUAAACCUGGGGCAAGACAAGGACUACUAAAUAGUUUCAAUGAUGGACAAAGAUAAGCCUCUCAAACAACUACACACACAAACACUUAGGUUGCCUGAUACAUCUGGAAACUACAGAGAAGUGUUUUCUCACAUAUAUGGGAAUAGGACGUGCAGGCCCCAGCGAAGAUCAGGACUGAUGUUACUGGACACUUCACCA